CAUCAGACCUCUAAUCGGAAAAGACUACCCGCUGAGUUUAAGCAUAUCAAUAAGCGGAG
rnacentral:rRNA from 1 species